UUUCCGUAGGUGAACCUGCGGAAGGAUCAUUAUUGUAUAACCGAGGUGAGAGGGCUGUCGGUGAAAAGAAAGGUCGUGAAGGUUGGAGUGAGUUGAAAUAAAUCGAUCUUAAUGAUAUGUGUACCACUGCGUGGGUGCCCCUUUGGCUUGUUAGGAGGGGGGGUUACGUUUUCACACAAAGUUUGUAUGCAGUGGAGAAUGUAUUUUUUGUUUUUGAGAUCACGUAAUCAAUACAACUUUAAAAAACGGAUCUCUUGGCUCUCGGAUUGAGGAAGAACA
rnacentral:misc_RNA from 1 species